UACGGAGGUGGCAAGCGUUGCUCGGAAUCACUGGGCGUAAAGCGCGUGUAGGCUGCUCGGAAAGUCGGAUGUGAAAGCCCUGGGCUCAACCUAGGAAGUGCAUUCGAAACUCCCGAGCUGGAGUCCUGGAGAGGAAGGCGGAAUUCUCGGUGUAGAGGUGAAAUUCGUAGAUAUCGAGAGGAACACCGGUGGCGAAGGCGGCCUUCUGGACAGUGACUGACGCUGAGACGCGAAAGCGUGGGGAGCAAACAGG
rnacentral:rRNA from 1 species